rnacentral:rRNA from 1 species
AUGGAGAUCGCCAUGGGGGCUAUUGGCCCUCUCCUCCCGAAGCUCAGUGAGCUGCUCAUGGGAGAGCUCACCAUGGAGAAACAAGUGAGGAAAGGCAUUGAGUCUCUCAUGACAGAGCUCACAUUGAUGCAUGCUGCCUUGAGUAAGGUGGCAGAAGUUCUCGUGGACCAGCUUCACAAGGGGGUCAAGAUCUGGGCAGGAAAUGUAAAGGAGUUGUCGUACCAAAUGGAGGAAAUUGUUGAUGUUUUCAUGGUGCGCGUGGAGGAUGGUGGAAAACCUGCCAACCCAAAGAACAAAGUCAAGAAGAUACUCAAGAAGUUGGCCGAGCUGCCGCAAAGGUAUGAGCAGGGGAUGCGAGAUCCUAGCACUAGUGUUAUUGUUGACCCUCGCAUGAUGGCCCUAUACACAGAUGUGUCUGAACUCGUCGGCAUUGAUGAAACACGAGACGAGUUGAUAAACAUGUUGAUCGAAGGUGAUGAUUGGUUGAAGCAUCCAUUGAAGACAAUCUCUAUUGUUGGAUUUGGUGGGUUGGGCAAGACAACUCUUGCCAAAUCAGCGUAUGAGAAGAUCAAAGGGCAAUUCGAUUAUGAUGCUUUUAUUUCGGUUUCUCAGAAUCCCAGCAAGAAGAAAGUCUUCAAGAAUAUUCUCUACGAACUUGACAAGAACAAGUAUGCACACAUUCAUAGUGAAGAAUGGGAAGAAAAUCAUCUAAUCGAUGAAAUAAUUGAAUUCCUUAAUGGCAACAGAUGUGUCAAGAAUUCUCUUCUUAAAAGAGUAUUUUAUGAGAAAGGGUGUCCCCAAGAGUUGGUGCAAGUAUCGAAAGACAUUUUGAAGAAAUGUGGUGGCAUACCAUUAGCUAUUAUUUCUAUAGCAAGUCUUCUUGCUAAUAAUCAUGAGAUGAAAAGAAAGGACCAAUGGUAUGCUUUGCUCAAUUCCAUUGGCCACGGACUUACAGAAGAUCACGGUUUGGAGCAGAUGAAACAGAUAUUAUUAUUCAGUUAUUAUGAUCUACCUUCGUAUCUGAAACCUUGUUUUUUAUAUCUUGGCAUCUUCCCGGAAGAUCACAAGAUUAUGAAAGGAAAGCUAAUAUGGAGAUGGAUAUCAGAAGGCUUUGUUUAUAGUGAAAAACAAGAAACUGACUUAUAUGAGCUUGGUAACAACUACUUCAAUGAGCUAGUAAAUAGAAGUAUGAUCCAGCCAAUUGGCAUUGAUGAUAGAGAAGAUAAACAAGCGUGUUGUGUACAUGACAUGGUGCUUGAUCUCAUAUGCUCACUUUCAAGUGAAGAAAACUUUGUCACAAUAUUGGAUGGCACCGGAGGAAAAAUGCCUAAUUAUGAAAGCAAGGUCCGCAGAUUGUCCAUCCAAAAUAGAAAGAUUGAUGUGGAUAUUUCUAGGAUGGCACAUAUAAGAUCUCUUACCGUUUUCACCAAUAAUGUUGUCGGGAAAAUUUUGGAUAUUUCAAGUUUUCAAGUUCUUCGUGUGUUGGAUUUCGAAGGUUGUGAUAUCUCGGAUAUUGGGUAUGUGGGAGAUCUUUUACAUUUGAGGUACUUAGGACUAAAAUAUACUCACGUUGAGGACCUUCCCACUGAAAUUGGGAAGCUACAAUUUUUGCUUACCUUGGAUUUAAGAGGUACUAAGAUAAAAGUUCUGCCAUCAAGUGUUGUUCAUCUAAGACGUCUGAUGUGCCUAUAUGUUGACUAUCAUAUGAAGCUGCCGUCUGGGAUAAGUAAUCUGGCUUCCCUAGAAGUGCUAGGUACAAUGAUGUUGUUUGACAAGGACCUUGAUGCUGUGAAAGAAUUGGGCCAUCUGACCAAGCUUAGGGUGCUCCAGGUUUACUACCAUGUUGAUGAGAGCCUGGAUAAAGCUUUGAUGGGAUCUCUUAGUAAUCUGUACAAACUGGACAGUCUAGAUAUUUAUGUCCGUGCUGGAGAAAUUAAUUUCUUGAGCGAAGAUUGGGUUCCUCCUCUACAACUCCGUAGAUUGGCUUUCUCGUUACCGUCGAGUUGGUUCAAGAUACUGCCGUCAUGGAUCAAUCCUUCAUCGCUUUCUCUCCUCGCCUAUCUUCAUAUAAAGGUGGUUAAAGUGUCAUCGGAGGCCAUCCAACUCAUUGGGAUUCUUCCUGCUCUUUUGUUCUCGAGAUAA